ACAGUACAAACUGAACAGGCCGUGUUUAAUGCUUGGAGCCGGGUCACAUUUGUGACAGUGGAGUAGAAAAAACCAUGGGACAGU
rnacentral:ncRNA from 1 species